AUUGAACGCUGGCGGCAUGCUUUACACAUGCAAGUCGAACGGGCCUGGGGGCAACUCCAGGUCAGUGGCGAACGGGUGAGUAAUGCAUCGGAACGUGUCCCGUAGUGGGGGAUAACCCGGCGAAAGCCGGACUAAUACCGCAUAUGCUCUACGGAGGAAAGUGGGGGACCUGCAAGGGCCUCACGCUAUGGGAGCGGCCGAUGUCCGAUUAGCUUGUUGGUGGGGUAAUGGCCUACCAAGGCGACGAUCGGUAGCUGGUCUGAGAGGAUGAUCAGCCACACUGGGACUGAGACACGGCCCAGACUCCUACGGGAGGCAGCAGUGGGGAAUUUUGGACAAUGGGGGCAACCCUGAUCCAGCCAUGCCGCGUGCGGGAAGAAGGCCUCGG
rnacentral:rRNA from 1 species